rnacentral:rRNA from 1 species
AUUGAACGCUAGCGGGAUGCCUAACACAUGCAAGUCGAACGGAGUGGCGGACGGGUGAGUAAUGUAUCGGAACCUGCCCAGUAGCGGGGGAUAACUACUCGACAGAGUAGCUAAUACCGCAUACUAUAGGAUGUGCCGAUAUCGGAUUAGCUAGUGGGUGGGGUAAAGGCUCACCAAGGCAACGAUCCCUAGCUGGUUUGAGAGGAUGACCAGCCACACUGGAACUGAGAGACGGCCCAGACUCCUACGGGAGGCAGCAGUGGGGAAUAUUGCACAAUGGGGGAAACCCUGAUGCAGCCAUACCGCGUGUAUGAAGAAGGCCUUCGGGUUGUAAAGUACUUUCAGCGGAGAGGCGGUACCCGCAGAAGAAGCACCGGCUAACUACGUGCCAGCAGCCGCGGUAAUUC